AUCUUCUCACUUCAGCAGCAUAUAUAUGAAUAUUGGAAGCAUACAGAGAAGAUUAGCAUGGCCUCCUUUCUCAAGGAUGACAUACAAAUUCCUAAAGCACUCCAUGUUUUU